rnacentral:lncRNA from 1 species
ACCUUUUUAGUGACAAAACAUACUAUUAUCUACAAAAAAUAUACUUUUAACGACAAAUGAAUUUGUCACAAAUGUUUAAGCAUUUGGGGACGAUUUUUCUUUUUGUAGUUAAUAUAAUACUUUUAGCGACGAAGCACUAAAUCGUCUUUGUAUACUUUUAGAGACACACAUUUAGUGACGACUGAGUGACGAAUUAUUUUUCGUCUCACAAGAAUUUUA